rnacentral:rRNA from 1 species
AACGAACGCUGGCGGCGUGUUUAAGACAUGCAAGUCGCACGGUGUCAUUUUGGUAGCAAUACUUGGAUGGCACAGUGGCGCACGGGUGAGUAACACGUGAAUGACAUGCCCUUCAGAGGGGGAUAGCCCAGGGAAACUUGGAUUAAUACCCCAUGGUCUCGCGAGAGUAAAGGUGGCCGCAAGGCUGUCGCUGGAGGAUUGGUUCGCGUUCUAUCAGCUUGUUGGCGGGGUAACGGCCCACCAAGGCUACGACGGAUACCUGGUCUGAGAGGACGAUCAGGCACACUGGAACUGAGACACGGUCCAGACACCUGCGGGUGGCAGCAGUCGAGAAUAAUUCACAAUGGGGGCAACCCUGAUGGUGCAACGCCGCGUGGAGGAUGAAGGUCUUCGGAUUGUAAACUCCUGUCAUCCGGGAGCAAGACCUGGCCGUGAAUAGCGGACAGGGUUGAUAGUACCGGAAGAGGAAGGGACGGCUAACUUCGUGCCAGCAGCCGCAGUAAUAC